GGUGUAUGAAAAAUUUACAAUUGGGCAAGCGAAGCGAUUAGUAUUCAACUUGGAGUACGACGCAAAGGUUGAAACUUCAAAGAUGAACGGGGUCCCGCACCAAGCAGCGGAGGCAUGUGUUUAAUUUCGACGCAACGCGAAGAACCUUACCAGGUCUUGACAUCCAGUUAAAUCUGCAGAGAUGCAGGGUGUGCUUGCACAAACUGAGACAGGUGGUGCAUGGUUGUCGUCAGCUCGUGUCGUGGGAUGUUGGGUUAAGUCCCGCAACGAGCGCAACCCUUGUUACUAGUUGCCAGCACGUAAUGGUGGGAACUCUAGUGAGACUGCCGGUGACAAACCGGGGGAAGGUGGGGACGACGUCAAAUCAUCAUGCCCGUAUGUCCUGGGCUACACACAUAAUAAAAAUGGUCGUCAACAGAGGGGAGGCGAAGCCGCGAGGUGGAGCAAAUCCCCAAAAGCGAUCUCAGUUCGGAUUGUAGUCUGCAACUCGACAAUUCAUGAAGCUGGAAUCGCUAGUAAUCGCAGAUCAGAAUGCUGCGGUGAAUACGUUCCCGGGUCUUGUACACACCGCCCGUCACACCAUGGGAGUAGGUAAUACCCGAAGUCCGUGACUUAACCGUAAGGAGAGAGCGGCCGAAGGUAGGACUUAUAACUGGGGUGAAGUCGUAACAAGUGCCUAAUCUAGA
rnacentral:rRNA from 1 species